rnacentral:rRNA from 1 species
AUGGGGACAACAUUCCGAAAGGAGUGCUAAUAACCGCAUAACAUAUUUGAAGGGCAUCCUUUGGAUAUCAAAGCUUUAUGUGCUGGAAGAUGGUCUCGCGUCUGAUUAGCUAGAUGGCGGGGUAACGGGCCCACCAUGGCGACGAUCAGUAGCCGGUCUGAGAGGAUGAACGGCCACAUUGGGACUGAGAUACGGCCCAGACUCCUACGGGAGGCAGCAGUGGGGAAUAUUGGGCAAUGGGCGCAAGCCUGACCCAGCAAUGCCGCGUGAAGGAAGACGGUUUCGGAUUGUAAACUUCUUUUACCAGGGACGAAGGACGUGACGGUACCUGGAGAAAAAGCAACGGCUAACUACGUG